rnacentral:rRNA from 1 species
UACAGAGGUCCCAAGCGUUGUUCGGAUUCAUUGGGCGUAAAGGGUGCGUAGGCGGCGAGGCAAGUCGGAUGUGAAAUCCCGGGGCUCAACCCUGGAACUGCAUUCGAUACUGCCUUGCUAGAGUACUGGAGAGGGAACUGGAAUUUACGGUGUAGCAGUGAAAUGCGUAGAUAUCGUAAGGAAGACCAGUGGCGAAGGCGAGUUCCUGGACAGUUACUGACGCUGAGGCACGAAGGCUAGGGGAGCAAACGGG